GGAUUUCCGGGGGUAGCGGGGAAAAUGGUAGAUUUCAGGAGGAACCCCGGUUGGUUAGCGGCUUUUGGACCGUUAAUUGACGCUGAGGCCGGGAAAGCGUGGGAGCAACCAGGAUAAGAUACCUUGUAGUCCACGCCGUAAACGAUGAGUGCUAGUGUUGCGGUCAAACCCGCAGUGCUGAAGUAAACGCAAUAAGCACUCCGCCUGGGGAGUACGACCGCAAGGUGAAAACUCAAAGGAAUUGACGGGGACCCGCACAAGCGGUGGAGCAUGUGUUUAAUUCGAAGCAACGCGAAGAACCUUACCAGGGUUUGACAUACCUAUGAUACACUUAGAGAUAAGUGGUUCCUUCGGGACAUAGGAUACAGGUGGUGCAUGGUUGUCGUCAGCUCGUGUCGUGAGAUGUUGGGUUAAGUCCCGCAACGAGCGCAACCCUUAUCGUUAGUUACUACCAUUAAGUUGAGGACUUUAACGAGACUGCCAGUGAUAAACUGGAGGAAGGCGGGGAUGAGGUCAAAUCAUCAUGCCCCUUAUACCCUGGGCUACACACGUGCUACAAUGGUCGGUGCAAAGAGAAGCGAAGCUGUGAAGUGAAGCAAACCUCAUAAAGCCGAUCUCAGUUCGGAUUGUAGUCUGCAACUCGACUACAUGAAGAUGGAAUCGCUAGUAAUCGCGGAUCAGAAUGCCGCGGUGAAUACGUUCCCGGUCUUGUACACACCGCCCGUCACACCACGAGAGUUUAUAACACCCGAAGUCAGUGGGCUAACCCUUUGGGAGGCAGCUGCCUAAGGUGGGAUAGAUGAUUGGGGUGAAGUCGUAACAAGGUA
rnacentral:rRNA from 1 species